CCUACGGGAGGCAGCAGUGAGGAAUAUUGGUCAAUGGACGAGAGUCUGAACCAGCCAAGUAGCGUGAAGGAUGACUGCCCUAUGGGUUGUAAACUUCUUUUAUAUGGGAGUAAAACAGGGUAUGCAUACCCUCUUGUAUGUACCAUAUGAAUAAGGAUAGGCUAACUACGUGCCAGCAGCCGCGGUAAUACGGAGGAUGCGAGCGUUAUCCGGAUUUAUUGGGUUUAAAGGGGGCGUAGGUGGAUUGUGAAGUCAGUUGUGAAAGUUUGCGGCUCAACCGGAAAAUUGCAGUUGAAACUGGCAGUCUGGAGUACAGUAGAGGUGGGCGGAAUUCGUGGUGUAGCGGUGAAAUGCUUAGAUAUCACGAAGAACUCCGAUUGCGAAGGCAGCUCACUGGACUGCAACUGACACUGAUGCUCGAAAGUGUGGGUAUCAAACAGGAUUAGAUACCCCGGUAGUC
rnacentral:rRNA from 1 species